rnacentral:lncRNA from 1 species
UGAAAAAUGUUUGGCAAGCAGUUUUGAUUGAUUUUAAAUUUAUUUCCCUAACAUGUGAGGCGAUCAUGCGAGUGCGCAAACCACCAAUUUAACACUCAGAUAAAGCAGUGAAUAAAUUAUAGGAUUUACCUCGAAGCAACGAAAGCAUCUGCGUUGUUAGAUCAAAAUUCACAUCAGCAAUCCUAGAUAUGAUUUCUUAUUAACACGCAAUCACUCAAUUUUUGCUUUCGUUUUAAUGAGAAUCAUGCAAUGCAAUAUACUAAUCUAACAUGCAAUGAUAUGGCAUAGCUAUAUGACCUAAACUAUAUGACAUAAGUAAAAAAAAUGAUUUUUUGUGUUUUCUUAGUGAACAUGCAAUAAUUAAAUAUGCAAUCUAAAUUAACCAAAUGACCUAACUCUGAUGACGAGGAAAUUCUAAUUAAAUGAACCUAGCAAUUACUAAAUGACGUGCAUUUCAUGAACCCAAUUCUAUAUGACGUGCACGUGAUUUUUUAUUUUCUUAAUAAGCAUGCAAUCUAUCCUGAUAUGCAAUGACGUGCAAAGAAUGCCCUAAUUCUAAUUUUUCUUUUUCUCUUAUGAAAUUCAAAAUUAAAAUGGCCAAAUAAUUAAACCUGCAAUUCAAAUUUAAAACUAACAUCCUAGAUGAAUGCAAUCUAAUUCAAAGAUAUCAUCUAACCUAGAUAUCAUCUAAACAUGCAUUUUAAAAAAACUAACUAACCUAUCAUGCAAUCAAUCCUAAUCUACAUGGGAUGGGAAUGCAAUUUUUUUUUGUAUUUUCGGGAUAAAUAGAACAACUAUGAGAUAAACAUCAAACCAACCAUGAUCGUCAAGAAUAUUAUCCAUCACUCAAUUUGAAAUUCAAAUUUGAUUAUCUCGCUAAUAAAAUCGAUAAAUUGAUCUUAAGCCUUAAAGAUCAAGAUAUCAGUUUUACUCCCGCGUGAAUAAUUAUUCUAUCUAAAGCCUUAUAGAUAGAAUAAAAGUUCGUGCGGUUGCGAAUUGGAUGCUACAUUAGGGAAUUUCAAUCAUGUAUUGGAAAAAAAAUCAAACAAAGAGAUAAAAUAUCAAAACCUCAAACAAGAUAAACAAAUCUACCUAAUAAGUUAAAUCUACCUAAAAGAUAAACCUAUCAAAUAAAGUAAAAUAGAUCUAUACCUAAAUUUGAAUUUUUCCAAAAAACCAAUCGGUAGAACGGACCAACGAUGGGCACGGCACGGCACGGCUCAGCUUUAGGGCAACGGUUGUGGCAAUAUCUCGGCUUGGCUUGGCACAAUUUGCGACGAUUUCGAUGGGCUAAUGUUCGGGACAUCAAUGUGGCGUCGAGUUAAACAUGGAACAACAACGUUGACGCAGCAAAAUCAGCAAGCUUCACCGAUAUUGGGUUGGGUCGUGAUGGACACGAUUCAAGCCUGAGGAACUCACAGACACGCCUACACCGAUACUGCUCAAUCCACUUUGAAGCACACCUCGACACCUGGAUGUGGGCAGCAAUUGGGACAGCAAACAGUCAACGUUUGAAGAUCCAAAUAUUUGCUGGAGAAGUUGAGGAAUUUGCUGUGAUGCUCAGCCCUCCUUGACGCGCCCUUGGACUAACGUGGCAGAACAAUGGGAACAGCAAAUUAGUUGACGUUGGGCGCCCUUCACAGACAAAACACAGGCACCGAGAAGGAGCUGCAGGCACACGUGGAGAUCACCGAUGUCGAUGGAGCCUCCUUUGAAAUUCCGAAGGUAAAAGGCACCGAGAAGGAGCUGCAGGCACGCGUGGGGAUCACUGAUGUCAAUUGAUCACCGAAAAUCAAAGGGCAGCACACGUUCGCCAACGGUUCUCCCUCACGAUCCGUCCCUCUCUCUCGAUUCUCAACUUUUCGUCCUCAAUUUUUUGAAAAUCCCCCCUCGGCUCACGAAAAUUAUGGCUCCUUUUAUAGUGAUUUUCAGAUGGCCAUUUUUAUAGCAACUUUCAACUUUCCAUCUUUUGUUGCAUUAAAUCAAGCCUGCAAAUCGGAACGUGAUUUCGCAAUCAGCUCGAUCCUACUCAGAUUUCUUCCAUUUUGCAAAAUUCUUGCCUCUUAUUCACUUGAUUUUUAAAUUGCUUCUGCAUUUAACAAAAUCCGAAUGAUCAUCAGAAUUUCAAAUUUCCAUGCAUAAUCAAUUAAAUAAAUUUCCCCCAUUUUUUCCUUUUAUUUGUUCUAAUGCAAUUGUUAUUUUCCUUAUUUUCCUAGAUUUACUAAAAAUAGGUGUCAACAA